UAGGAUUACAAGUGUGACACUCUAG
rnacentral:misc_RNA from 1 species